CUCCUUGAAAAUCUUGAUGCUCUAGCCAUUUCCAAGGUAAUCUAAAGAACCACUAAUCUAAUUGAGAAUUUACAAUACCAAUUUGACUCCUUUCCAUAUUUUGUAAUUACUUGUUGGGGCAUUUGGGAUUGAACUACAAUUUUGUUUAGAUUAGAUGAUGAAAAAAUCUACUCUAAUCUGUCUUUGUGGAACAAAUGAGCUAGCUAUGGAGUUAUGAACUUGGUUCCUUUAUGUGAUGUUUUGGUUAUGAACAAAAUUGGAGUUUCGAUGUGGAAGCAGGUGUAGGAAAAUUAUGCCUGCUCUUGCAAUUCACAGAGAGGUUCAAGUUGUGCAUAAUCUCACUAUUUUCAUCAUCGAGGGUCGACCAAUCAAGCUUCAGAUUUGGGACACUGACAAGUCGAAUAAGAUGGAGGACUCAAGGUAAGUCUAAUCUAGAGGCACAGUGGACAAUGGGAUCCUAAUCAUAGUGGAGCAGUCUAGUCAUGGAGGAAGAUUAGAAGCAGGAAGAAGAUGAAUGAUAUGGUAGAUGUAGUGGCUAGUAGCAGUAUGUUUCAAGAACCAUUUAGAUAGUUACUCUUUUGUAUAAGAAAUUAUAUGUAUAAGACCCGCCAUGCAUAUAGUUUUUGAACCUCUUAUGCAUUUUAUAGUGUAAAGCAUAUUUUUUGUGCUUCAAGUUUCUAUUCAAUUUCGUAUCCAUAUUAGCUAAUAGAUAUCAAUUUUAACUUUAGGUUGUC